GCGUGGAGUGAUGCUGAUGAUUUCUUUGCGCCCGUACUUGCCGUCGCCGGAGACAACGACGGCGUCGGAAGUGAGGGUUUCGGCGGCGGCGAUUGAGGAGCACGCGAUGUGUUUGAGGAAAACGACGGCGUUUGGCUUGGGCAAGGAGGUGGUGGUGAAUAAACGAUUGCGAAAUUGUGGGAAAGAAUUGACGCAACGGCACGCCAACGAGCUAGCCAUGUUGAAGGAUUUACAAGCCUCAGUGGCUAUUGUUUCAUUCUGAUGGUUCGUUGAGACAAAACGGUCAUGUGACUGUAACAUAGUUUCUCACUGCGGUAAAAAAAUCCUCACUCCCAAUACACACUCCAGUCGAAAAAAGUUGUCCAAUUUUAAUUUGGGUCGACAAAUAUUGACUUAUACUCUAUACAAUAAAAUUAAAAUAUUAUAUAAACAGAAUUAUAUGUAUAUUAUUUAUUUCAAAAGUAUAAUUUUCAGAUUUCUAAAAUUGCAUAAAAUAAUUUAAAACUUCAGUCAAACAAGAUCAAUUUGAUAUGUCGAAUUUUAAAGUCGACGAAUAAUAUGAAUAAAAGGAAGGAUUUUUUGGUAAAUAAAUGAUUUUAUUAAAAUAAAACGGUUUGUGAAAUAAUACUCGAAUGAUCAAUUAUAACUUGAUUUUAAACAAAUAGACGUUUCGUUUUCAGACUAUUUAAUACAUAGAAUAUUAUAAUGAUAUUUCGAGUAAUCAACUUACAUUAGUAAUGAAAUUAGUAACUACGUAAUUGAUUUUCACAUAAGCAUCAUUCGUAGUCCAAAAAUAAUAACUAUUAAUUUUAUUGCUUAGAAUCGUACAAGUCAAAAUUUUAUCAUAAUUUUGACAGGAAUAUCAAGUUGGAUGCGGAUAGCAAAAAAUAACAAUCUGAUAUAUAUUUAUAUAAAAUAACUCGAAUCAUGAAAAUUUUUUAACUAAAAAGUAAAUUAGCAUAAAAAAAAAGUAUAUAUUCAAGUCGUUUGAUAUUUUGUACGUAAUUUAUAAAUUUUAUUAAAAAAAUUAAAAUUAAUAUUUUUAAAAUUUAUUUAAGAAAGGAUUUUAAUUAAAAUAUCGAACGAUUACGAAGAUAUACCUUGUCCCAGCUGAGAUGCUUCGAGGCAAGUUCUGACUCUUGACUGCUGAGCAACUAAUCCUGACGUUAAAACAAAACCCGUGAUGGCCCAUCUUUCGAGAAUCCAACGUGGCAUCACCACAGCCACAACAUAUAAAAAUGGAAUUUCCCCAUUUGGGAUAGAAUCAAAUUAGUGGCCACAAACAUCUCACAUGCUAUCCACCCACACCUCUGAACANCACUAAAAUUUGAUGGCGAAAUAUAAUUUUAUGAGUUCUGCAGAGACUAUGGUGUGGAUGAAUAACUUGAUACAAGGCCCGAAUAAAAGUAUCAACUAUGGUGGGCGAGUUGAACAACGCUGUACCACAGUCCACACAUCUAACAAUUCACAAAGUAAAAGAUAAAUUCUUGAAAGUCUCUUGCACUUGUCCGAGUUGCUAGUCAACUCAGCUUAUAGCAGGCGCUAACAUUUUUCUGCAUACUAUAUAGCUAACGUCUUCUUCCCACCCAAACACACUGCUCCUUUUUUCCUUUUAAGACUCCAUUUCAUUGCCGAUGUACAUCAACUGUCGUUUCACGAUUCCCGGUGUCCCUGACAGGAGUGUUGUGCACAUCUUUUAGUUCUUCAAAGAACAUUCGUUUACAGCUUGCCUAGUCCUGAGCCACUUGCAGAUUAAUACUUCAAUUUGCAUCCUCUUGGUUAUAGUGUCACAUUAUACUGAUAAAUCAGUUCUUCCGACAGAUCGUGAUGCCAUCGCCUAUUGGCACCUGGUAACAACACAUAGAUUGUUUUUAGAUAUAUAGACAGGUUAAGAAGAUGAUAAGUUCAAUAGAACAAUGACAGAACUUCAUGCACGUACCAUGCUAAUGCUUACACGUUCAUCCUCCAUUAUACCUUGAUUGAAAUUCCUAAUGCUGACUGUCUUGGCAUCAUUAACCUAUAUGAAUGAACUGAUAGAAUCACUUAACCAGUUGGGAAUUCAUAAUGCGUAUCUGCUUGAGUAACUUCAUUUACCAGUGGAUUGGCAACUUUGCCAUGCCAGAGCACAUUAUCAAUUACAAUAAUCCCACCAACCCUCACCUGCAAUAUUAGAUUAAGAGAAGGUUAACAAUCUUGACCACUUGAUGGAUGCAAAUGGAACCAUCUAAUCCCACAUACCCUUCAGAAAACUAAAUGGUAUGUUAGACAAAAAUAUAAUUGAUACUGUGAUUCUAACCAGUUGUAGCAGCAAUUCAAAGUAUUCUUGAUAAUUUCUUUUGUCAGCAUCAACAAAUGCAAAGUCAUAGCUGCAGUGAUAACGCAAGUAAUUUAUGAGAAUCGAUAGAUAUGGCACAAUUAAUAGUAUACUGAACAGUGAACAAAGUGAAAACCACAAAAAGUGACGAGCACGAGGAAAAUGUAGUAGUUCAAAUUAAGAAAAAACAUAGCGGUCAUUUCUUUCAGCUUUAGAACUGAUUCAAGAAAAGAUGUAUAUCAUAAAUAGACAUGUGGGUUUACUCUAUCAAGGAUACACACCUGUCUUCUGAUAAGGUUUAUCUUCUGAUACAAGGGGUAGGGCAAUAUUCAUGUAACUGAUAAAUCCUGGGAAGAUCCAGAUAAUAAUAUUUGGCCAAAGGUUUUAUCUUUACCAGAGCAGUUUUGAUUGAGGGUGUUGAUGCCAGUUAUCGUCAUGGACGAGAUAUCAUAAUAAAGGGUAUUCGUAAGAAACUUUAGUAGAUAUUCAUGACGGAAAUUGGUUAUAGAUCUGACAAAACUCUAGAAGUAUGAAUCACAAUCCUCAUUUUAUCAUACAAAUCCGUUGUAUUAUAGAAAGAUAUUUAUGCUUUGGUGUCCACACAUUAUAACCUAAUGGUCAUGUCUCAUCUCAGACCAUUUCAUACCUCAACUACUCUAAAAAUUAACUUAUGAAUUGGUGCAUACUUGAAGAUGCCAAAUUGGAUCGCUACUGCACAUUAAGUCAACAGUCUUGGAGGUGACUCAUAAUGGGAGUGAAAGCUUGCAGGGUGAUAAUUUAAUCAGUCUGUGGUAUAAAAGUUAUGAACUCAGCUCAAUUCUCUAAUGUAAACUCUUCCUUAAAUUAUUGUCCGAAUUUACCCCUUUCACUUAUAUUUUUUCUUUCAGUUGCUUGAGUUUAACAAUAUCUGCAUACCACAAGUCUAAUGAAGUAGAGAACAUGAAAAAGAACUAGGAAGAUGACUUUUAAGAAAGUCCAAAGAAAACUUAUUGAUGUUGUUUAUGUCCAUAUAUAGUCUUCAAAAUAUCUUUCACCGUGAGUUAAAUUUAUAAUUGCCAAAUAACACCCUCUUAUACGCUGUUUAGGUUUUGGCUACCCUGUAUGGUAGGUUUUAAUGAGUACAGUAGUAGGCUAAAGUCAAACAACAUUAAAACCUCAACUUUAAGAAAUACCUGCAACCUUCUCCAUUCUGAAUCAUUAAUUUCAAUGCAUCAGCUGCUAGCCCAUGUCUGACAUCAACCUAGUGCAAUUAAAUAUCUUAAGACAGAAUAUUACAGCACGAUGUAGGUAAUUGUCGGUCGAUACCAAAAUAAGCAUCCCCAUUAUAUAGAGUUGGGCAGCAGGGGUAUUGCAGUUGGCCUUGGAAUUUAGAAAUUGAUUCUUUCUUAUAUAUUAAUCCCUACCUAUAAUAUAGAAUUUCGUUUAUAUCUAACAGAGAGUAUAAGCACAUAGCAUAAAAUUGAAAAUAUACACUUUCAGAUUACAAACUAAAGAGAGGAGAUAGUUAUCACCUUAUGCAAGACACCAGCUUGCUCAUAAUACCUUUUCGCCACCUCAAGAGCCUUCCCAUCUCUUUCACAAGCAACUAAACGGCCGGACUCCGGUAGGACAAGAGCAACAGCCAGUGAGGAGUAUCCCUGGAAGCAACAAUUAACCAAAUUUGUUUUUAAAAUUUCAUCAAUAUAUUAAAUUUUAGAUUAUACUUGUCACAAAGUCAUAACAAUGUAAUUAACAUUUUGCAUGCCCCAAAAUACACAUUAAACUUUGCUAUGUCGUUCAUGAAGUUAUUAACUUGGUACGUUUAAAAAUUAAUAGGAUCCAUGCUUAUACAGUACCAUUAUAUGUCAGUUUUUACUGAUUCCAAUAUCUUUCAGGCAAGAAAAUCGUGAGGCAGUCUAGCAGGAUACUGAAGCCUUGGAGGCUCUUUCCAAGUAAUUAUGUACUAGAAAUUGAGGGGAUUUUUUGAGGUGACUCUUUUCUGUCAAUUUGAAGAAGGUGUUAUUAUUUAAACGGUAAGAAACUUCUUCUGAAUGAAGUUUAUAACAGCAUUGUUAAAUAACGAUGUCUUAUCAGAAGGCAAUGGCUAGAACUUAUCAACAUAUCUGCACAUGGCAUUAAAUUUUGAAGAAGUCCUCGAAAUUAAGUUGAUGAGAAUUUUUUUUGAACAAAGUACUGAUAUAUCUUGCUUACCGUAUAAACACCAACUUCUAUGCACUUUUCUGCCCCUAGAAUCUGGACUAGCAUUGCGAGUAGUUGUGCUUGAUCAGGAGAUACCUAUGGACAAAGCACCAGCACCAAUUAGGCUAAUAACAUAGAGAAGCUUCAGAAAUGAAUCCCACUAAAAAAAUUAUUAAUUAUUAUAUUCUUCUUCCAGACUUUUACUCAAUAUAGCUUAAAUAAUGUAAUUAUAUUCUUCUUCCAGACUUUUACUCAAUAUAGCUUAAAUAAUGUAAUUAGAGUGCAGUAAGCACUCUGUUACUCCUCAAUUUCUAAUACAUAAUUACUUGUUAAAAAACGUAUAAUCUUUUAUUGACUUGAAGCAUUAUCAGCUUACUUUAUUUAUAAGGCAUACAAUCAUUUAAUGCUCUUCACACAGAAUAUCCUACUCAUGCUAAUUCCGAAGGAUGGAGACGCCAUAACUUCCUUUGGAAAUAUCAAACAGAUUACAUUCAAAUUCUAAUUACUUGAACAUCAUUUCUUACAAUCUCUGUCAAACAACUUCAAACAGUAUAUGCCUACUUCUGCUAAUUCAGAGGGAGGGAGACGCCAUAACUUCCUUCGGAUAUAUCAAACAGAUUACAUCCAAUUUCUAAUUACUCAAUCACCAUUUCGCACAAUCUCUAACAGACAGUUCAAAUUACCGAAACAACACAAAUACAACUCUAAUUACACAUUUUCAACUUGCAAAAAGUCGAAUAAAAUCAAUUACCUGCAUCUGACUACCACGCAUCGUCGAAGUCUCCUCCCGUAAUUCCCGCAGAAUCUAACACACAAAAAACACAAUAAACAUCACGAAAAACACGCAUAUUCAUCCAAUUAAAAACACACACACAAAAACAAAAUUGUACUUGUGGUUCUCUGACAUUAUCGAGCAAGUAAUCGUAGAGGCGUGGAGUGAUGCUGAUGAUUUCUUUGCGCCCGUACUUGCCGUCGCCGGAGACAACGACGGCGUCGGAAGUGAGGGUUUCGGCGGCGGCGAUUGAGGAGCACGCGAUGUGUUUGAGGAAAACGACGGCGUUUGGCUUGGGCAAGGAGGUGGUGGUGAAUAAACGAUUGCGAAAUUGUGGGAAAGAAUUGACGCAACGGCACGCCAACGAGCUAGCCAUGUUGAAGGAUUUACAAGCCUCAGUGGCUAUUGUUUCAUUCUGAUGGUUCGUUGAGACAAAACGGU
rnacentral:lncRNA from 1 species